GCAGAAGCUAACUUUGAACUUGUGCUUUUCCUGCCUCAGCCUCUGAAGCCACUGGGAUUACAGAUGUGUGCCACUGCACCUGGUCAAUAAUGUCAAAUUCUUGAAGCUGUCCCAUUUGGGGGACUUUGGAGAUAGGAGAAGAAUGAAAAAGUCCAUGAAGAAUCAAAGACAGGCAUCAGAAGUCCAGGAGAACAUGGAAAGCAUAAGUCUUUAUUUUGCUACCAUGUCAGUGUCUACCGGAUCUUCCUUAAACUUAAGACUUGGAAAUAGUGAGGAGCACAGAGCCCAGAAACAACAAGCUGUCUACCUGUGUCAGUGCCAGGUCCACACGCCUGACAGCCAGUGUCCACAGUGUUUCCUAGAUGAUGAGCUGAAGAGGAACAGGUUUUGAGAAUGAGUGUCCUCACAAGUCACAUGCUGCAAAAAGGCAGAGUCAGAUGAUCCCCUGGAUUGGAGGUGCAAUGUCACUGUUGAAUUUGGAGGAGAGCUUUGAAUGGGUUCAUUGAGACAGAUGCCAGGAAGCAACACAUUAAGGGGCAGGUUUGGAAAACAGGUGAUCAGAAGAGACCACCGCACAGAGUAGAGACCACUAUCAAGGAACUUGAUGGUGAAUCAAAGGAAAGAAUGAGGCAGUGGUUUUAGGAGAAGAAAUGGGUCAAGGACAGGUUAGUUUUAAACAAACAGCUGAACCGUCAUGGGCCACGUGAAGGAGCCCCUGGGGAAGAGACAAGAGGGACAUGGGUUGUGGGGCCCACUGCAAAAGUGGGUUCCACAGGUGCGAGCUGACUCUGGGAAGGAGACCUACUCCACCUCAAGCAACGCAGGAGCAACAAUAGGUGGACGUGUAAGCUUAUGAGGAAGAUUCCGGAACACGGAGGCAUGAUUGGGAGAGCCGGCCCCUGCUCCCCUCUGUUCCUUUAAAGUUAAAUUGCCUGGUGGGAGAGAGAGCAGGGAGGCCAUCAAACCACUGAGCCAUGAGACUGGGGAUGGGCCAUGUCCUCUCCCAGAGGUGGGUGCCCCUGUGGCCUGGUAGGGCCACGUCCCUUCCCUGCUGGGACCCUGUGUGCAGCAGCCAGCUCUAGUGCACACUCCCUCUUCUGCUGUCAGUUUGCGCAGCAUCCCUGGGGCCUGCUGAGCCGGCCUCUGUCUUCAGCCACUCAGAAAGCCUUCUCGUCCUGUGCCCUGCCGGAG
rnacentral:lncRNA from 1 species